rnacentral:rRNA from 1 species
CACGUAGGCGGAUUAGUCAGUCAGAGGUGAAAUCCCAGGGCUCAACCCUGGAACUGCCUUUGAUACUGCUAGUCUUGAGUUCGAGAGAGGUGAGUGGAAUUCCGAGUGUAGAGGUGAAAUUCGUAGAUAUUCGGAGGAACACCAGUGGCGAAGGCGGCUCACCGGCUCGAUACUGACGCUGAGGUGCGAAAGCGUGGGGAGCAAACA